GACGAAGGUGGCGAGCGUUGUUCGGAAUCACUGGGCAUAAAGCGCGCGUAGGCGGCUAUGUAAGUCAGGUGUGAAAGCCCUCGGCUCAACCGAGGAACUGCGCCUGAUACUGCAUGGCUUGGGGUCCGGAGGGGAGAGUGGAAUUCCCGGUGGAGCGGUGAAAUGCGUAGAGAUCGGGAAGAACGCCGGCGGCGAAAGCGACUCUCUGGUCGGAAUCUGACGCUGAGGCGCGAAAGCUAGGGGAGCAAACGGG
rnacentral:rRNA from 1 species